GGUCGUGGCGCAACGGAAAACGCGCCUGACGAUGGAUCAGGAGAUUCCAGGUUCGAAUCUUGGCUCU
rnacentral:tRNA from 1 species